rnacentral:rRNA from 1 species
GCCUACGGGGGGCAGCAGUGGGGAAUAUUGCGCAAUGGGCGAAAGCCUGACGCAGCGACGCCGCGUGAGGGAUGAAGGUCUUCGGAUCGUAAACCUCUGUCAGCAGGGAUGAACGGUCACUGUGCUAAUCAGCAGUGAAUUGACGGUACCUGCAAAGGAAGCACCGGCUAACUCCGUGCCAGCAGCCGCGGUAAUACGGAGGGUGCGAGCGUUAAUCGGAAUUACUGGGCGUAAAGCACUCGUAGGCGGUAUGUCAAGUCAAGGGUGAAAUCCCCGCGCUCAACGUGGGAACUGCCUUUGAAACU